UACAGAGGUCUCAAGCGUUGUUCGGAUUCAUUGGGGCGUAAAGGGUGUGUAGGUGGCGCCGUAAGUCGGGUGUGAAAGCCCCCGGGGCUCAACCUGGGAAGUGCACUCGAAAACUUCGAGACUCGAGUCCUGGAGAGGAAGGCGGAAUUCUCGGUGUAGAGGUGAAAAUUCGUAGAUAUCGAGAGGAACACCGGUGGCGAAGGCGGCCUUCUGGACAGUGACUGACGCUGAGACGCGAAAGCGUGGGGAGCAAACAGG
rnacentral:rRNA from 1 species